AGAGUUUGAUCAUGGCUCAGAUUGAACGCUGGCGGUAGGCUUAACACAUGCAAGUCGUGCGAGAAAGUAUCUUCGGAUAUGAGUAGAGCGGCGGACGGGUGAGUAACGCGUAGGAAUCUACCUAGUAGAAGGGGAUAGCCCGGGGAAACUCGGAUUAAUACCGUAUACUCCUUCGGGAGAAAGAAGGCCUCUCUUUGAAGCUUUCGCUACUAGAUGAGCCUGCGUAAGAUUAGCUUGUUGGUGAGGUAAAGGCUCACCAAGGCGACGAUCUUUAGCGGGUCUGAGAGGACGAUCCGCCACAUUAGGACUGAGACACGGCCCAGACUCCUACGGGAGGCAGCAGUGAGGAAUAUUGGACAAUGGGCGCAAGCCUGAUCCAGCCAUACCGCGUGUGUGAAGAAGGCCCUAGGGUUGUAAAGCACUUUAAGUUGGGAAGAAAAGUUAUUGGUUAAUACCUAAUAACCGUGACAUUACCAUCAGAAUAAGGACCGGCUAAUUCCGUGCCAGCAGCCGCGGUAAUACGGAAGGUCCAAGCGUUAAUCGGAAUUACUGGGCGUAAAGCGCGCGUAGGUGGUUUAUUAAGUUGGAUGUGAAAUCCCCGGGCUCAACCUGGGAACUGCAUCCAAAACUGAUUCACUAGAGUACGAUAGAGGGAGGUAGAAUUCACAGUGUAGCGGUGGAAUGCGUAGAUAUUGUGAAGAAUACCAAUGGCGAAGGCAGCCUCCUGGAUCUGUACUGACACUGAGGUGCGAAAGCGUGGGUAGCGAACAGGAUUAGAUACCCUGGUAGUCCACGCCGUAAACGAUGUCAACUAGCUGUUUGGGGAAACUAUGGUUCUUCAGUGGCGCAGCUAACGU
rnacentral:rRNA from 1 species